rnacentral:rRNA from 1 species
AUUGAACGCUGGCGGCAGGCCUAAUACAUGCAAGUCGAACGGUGUCUUCGGACAUAGUGGCGCACGGGUGCGUAACACGUAUGCAACCUACCUUACAUUGGGGGAUAGCCUUUCGAAAGGGAGAUUAAUACCGCAUAAGACAGUAGCUGGGCAUCCAGCAGCUGUUAAAGAUUUAUCGAUGUAAGCUGGGCAUGCGUCCAAUUAGCUAGUUGGUGAGGUAACGGCUCACCAAGGCAAUGAUUGGUAGGGGAACUGAGAGGUCAAUCCCCCACACGUGCACUGAGAUACGGGCCAGACUCCUACGGGAGGCAGCAGUAGGGAAUAUUGGGCAAUGGACGCAAGUCUGACCCAGCCAUGCCGCGUGCAGGAUGAAGGCGUUAUGCGUUGUAAACUGCUUUUAUACAGGAAGAAACGACUCUUGCGAGAGGCAUUGACGGUACUGUAUGAAUAAGCACCGGCUAACUCCGUGCCAGCCGCCGCAGUAAAAC